rnacentral:rRNA from 1 species
AUUGAACGCUGGCGGCAGGCCUAACACAUGCAAGUCGAACGAGUGGCGGACGGGUGAGUAAUGUCUGGGAAACUGCCUGAUGGAGGGGGAUAACUACUGGAACCGGUAGCUAAUACCGCAUACCAUCAGAUGUGCCCAGAUGGGAUUGGCUUGUUGGUGGGGUAACGGCUCACAAGGGCGACGAUCCCUAGCUGGUCUGAGAGGAUGACCAGCCAACCUGGAACUGCGCCACGGUCCAGAUUCCACCGGGAGGCAGCAGUGGGAAAUAUUGGACACUGGGCGCAAGCCGGAUGCAGCCAUGCCGCGUGUAUGAAGAAGGCCUUCGGGUGGUAAAGUACUUUCAGCGGGGAGGCGUUACCCGCAGAAGAAGCACCGGCUAACUCCGUGCCAGCAGCCGCGGUAAUAC